rnacentral:rRNA from 1 species
CAGCAUGUUGGAAUACAGCGUCAUAGUGGUGAGAACCCCGUACGUGAUGCGGACGCCCGGUGCUUUGUGAUACACUUUCGAAGAGUCGAGUUGUUUGGGAAUGCAGCUCAAAAUGGGAGGUAAAUUCCUUCUAAAGCUAAAUAUUGGCGAGAGACCGAUAGCGAACAAGUACCGUGAGGGAAAGAUGAAAAGCACUUUGGAAAGAGAGUUAACAGUACGUGAAAUUGUUGGAAGGGAAACGCUUGAAGUCAGACUUGCUUGCCGGGCAACCGGUUUGCAGGCCAGCAUCAGUUUUCGGGGGUGGAAAAGCGCGGUUUGAAGGUAGCAGUCUCGGCUGUGUUAUAGCUUUCCGCUGGAUUCACCCUUGGGGACUGAGGAACGCAGCACGCUUUUUGCAGGGUCUUCGGGCUCAUCGUGCUUAGGAUGCUGGUUUAAUGGCUUUAAACGACCCGUCUUGAAACACGG